rnacentral:lncRNA from 1 species
UUUGAAUAGAAAGCUUAAUUCAAUUUUUUAGUUAAUUCAGAAAUGUAUGUUCUCAUUUGAAGUUGUAUGGAUUGCUUUUGUGACACUUUUGAACAUGCUUUGUGUCGUUUUUGAGGCUGAAAACCUUAGGAAUUGCAUAGAAGAGAGCAACAAGCAUCUUAAGAAUUUCUCCUUGUGUUCCACGGAAGAAUUAAGUCAUAAAGGUCUGGAACGACAUGAGGUUGCAGGGAAAAGCUGGAGUGGCAGAUGCUUAAUUGGACAUAAUGAAAGCCAGAGGGGAUGAAGCAUGACUAGGUUCAGUGGUCGCUCACUAUUUUCUCAUCAGUUUUGCUUAUUCAGUUUUAUUUAUAUCAUUAAACAUGAACAGUGGGCCCAAAAAAAGUUAUCUUCUUUUUUUUUAACAGUACACUACCAGUCAAAAGUUUGGUGCCCGUAAGGUAUUUUUAUGUUUUUGAAAAAACUUUCUUCUUUGCCAAUGCUGCAUUUUUUUUUAUUUGGUCAAAAUACACUAAAAUAGUAAUAUUGUGAAAUGUUAUUACAAUUUGUAAUCCAUUACUUUAUUCCUGCAUUUAUUUAUUUUUUUCUAGUCUUCAGUAUCACAUGAUCCUUCAGAAAUAAUUCCAGUUAGCUGAUUCGGUGCAUGAAUAAACUGAAUAAACAUUUCAGACAACCAGUUUUUUUGUGGAAAUUGAGAUCUUUUUCUUUUUCUUUGAUAAAUAGAAAUUUCCAAAACUGUGAAUGUAAAUCUUUUGUAACAUUGUAAAUGUCUUUGUCCCUUUUGAAUAUUUAAUGCAUCCUUGCUGAAUAAAAGUAUUAUUUUUUUUAUUUUUUUUCUUUUUCAAAAAAAUACAUUUACAUCAAACUUUUAAAUUGUAAAUCCUUCUUGUUUUGAAAGCUUUGACAAGUGUGCUUAUGCUACUUUUCUUUAAAAGUCUUUUGGUUUAAUAUUUUAUUAUGCAAUGUAAUAACUUUGGUGUUGCAUAAGUCUAUAAAUUCCUCUCAAAGCUAAUAGGCAUAUAAUGGCAUUCUUCAGUGUAGGUAAAAUGUAUAGGCCUGUAUGUAUGGCCCUAGCAAUAAUUAACCAUUGAAUAAAUAAAAGAAUAAAUGUAUUAACUGAUUGAAAAGUCAGUAGAUACAAGCACAGACAACGAUUACCCCAGUUUGAGAUAAUAUAUUUUUGUCUCUUAGUGUCCAAAUAUACAUUUUAAUAUUUUGACAUUUAUUUUAAUGUUUAUUUUGUUUGUUAUAUUAGAUUAUUUUUUAUUUUGGCAUGCUUUACUGAUUAUAUAAAUUGGAAUAUAGUAGGUUAAUCCUUUGAUAAAGUUAAUUUGUGUGCAACGUUGUGUUUGUUAGUGUCUAUAUAUCCUCAGAUACUAUAAAAUGGUUUACAGUUGCAUCAGCCAGUAUAAUAUGUCGUAACCAGGGCUAUGUUUUCAGGA